rnacentral:rRNA from 1 species
GACGAACGCUGGCGGCGUGCUUAACACAUGCAAGUCGAACGGUGAAGCGCCUUCCUUUUUGGUGGGUGUGGAUGAGUGGCGAACGGGUGAGUAACACGUGAGUAACCUGCCCCCUUCUUCUGGAUAACCGCAUGAAAGUGUGGCUAAUACGGGAUAUUCUGGGUCUGUCGCAUGAUGGGUCUGGGAAAGAUAUUGUUUCGGUGGGGGAUGGGCUCGCGGCCUAUCAGCUUGUUGGUGGGGUGAUGGCCUACCAAGGCGGUGACGGGUAGCCGGCCUGAGAGGGUGGACGGUCACACUGGGACUGAGACACGGCCCAGACUCCUACGGGAGGCAGCAGUGGGGAAUUUUGCACAAUGGGCGCAAGCCUGAUACAGCGACGCCGCGUGAGGGAUGGAGGCCUUCGGGUUGUGAACCUCUUUCGCCAGUGAAGCAGGCCUGCCUCGUUUGUGGGUGGGUUGACGGUAGCUGGAUAAGAAGCGCCGGCUAACUACGUG